rnacentral:rRNA from 1 species
ACCCAGACCGCCAGCUAAGGUCCCAAAGUCAUGGUUAAGUGGGAAACGAUGUGGGAAGGCCCAGACAGCCAGGAUGUUGGCUUAGAAGCAGCCAUCAUUUAAAGAAAGCGUAAUAGCUCACUGGUCGAGUCGGCCUGCGCGGAAGAUGUAACGGGGCUAAACCAUGCACCGAAGCUGCGGCAGCGACACUGUGUGUUGUUGGGUAGGGGAGCGUUCUGUAAGCCUGUGAAGGUGUGUCGUGAGGCAUGCUGGAGGUAUCAGAAGUGCGAAUGCUGACAUAAGUAACGAUAAAGCGGGUGAAAAGCCCGCUCGCCGGAAGACCAAGGGUUCCUGUCCAACGUUAAUCGGGGCAGGGUGAGUCGACCCCUAAGGCGAGGCCGAAAGGCGUAGUCGAUGGGAAACGGGUUAAUAUUCCCGUACUUGGUGUUACUGCGAAGGGGGGACGGAGAAGGCUAUGUUGGCCGGGCGACGGUUGUCCCGGUUUAAGCGUGUAGGUGUGUGUUCCAGGUAAAUCCGGUUCACUUUAACACUGAGGCGUGACGACGAGGCACUACGGUGCUGAAGCAACAAAUGCCCUGCUUCCAGGAAAAGCCUCUAAGCAUCAGGUAACAUCAAAUCGUACCCCAAACCGACACAGGUGGUCAGGUAGAGAAUACCAAGGCGCUUGAGAGAACUCGGGUGAAGGAACUAGGCAAAAUGGUGCCGUAACUUCGGGAGAAGGCACGCUGACACGUAGGUGAAGUGAUUUACUCAUGGAGCUGAAGUCAGUCGAAGAUACCAGCUGGCUGCAACUGUUUAUUAAAAACACAGCACUGUGCAAACACGAAAGUGGACGUAUACGGUGUGACGCCUGCCCGGUGCCGGAAGGUUAAUUGAUGGGGUCAGCGCAAGCGAAGCUCCUGAUCGAAGCCCCGGUAAACGGCGGCCGUAACUAUAACGGUCCUAAGGUAGCGAAAUUCCUUGUCGGGUAAGUUCCGACCUGCACGAAUGGCGUAAUGAUGGCCAGGCUGUCUCCACCCGAGACUCAGUGAAAUUGAACUCGCUGUGAAGAUGCAGUGUACCCGCGGCAAGACGGAAAGACCCCGUGAACCUUUACUAUAGCUUGACACUGAACAUUGAGCCUUGAUGUGUAGGAUAGGUGGGAGGCUUUGAAGUGUGGACGCCAGUCUGCAUGGAGCCGACCUUGAAAUACCACCCUUUAAUGUUUGAUGUUCUAACGUGGACCCGUUACCCGGGUUGCGGACAGUGUCUGGUGGGUAGUUUGACUGGGGCGGUCUCCUCCUAAAGAGUAACGGAGGAGCACGAAGGUUGGCUAAUCCUGGUCGGACAUCAGGAGGUUAGUGCAAUGGCAUAAGCCAGCUUGACUGCGAGCGUGACGGCGCGAGCAGGUGCGAAAGCAGGUCAUAGUGAUCCGGUGGUUCUGAAUGGAAGGGCCAUCGCUCAACGGAUAAAAGGUACUCCGGGGAUAACAGGCUGAUACCGCCCAAGAGUUCAUAUCGACGGCGGUGUUUGGCACCUCGAUGUCGGCUCAUCACAUCCUGGGGCUGAAGUAGGUCCCAAGGGUAUGGCUGUUCGCCAUUUAAAGUGGUACGCGAGCUGGGUUUAGAACGUCGUGAGACAGUUCGGUCCCUAUCUGCCGUGGGCGCUGGAGAACUGAGGGGGGCUGCUCCUAGUACGAGAGGACCGGAGUGGACGCAUCACUGGUGUUCGGGUUGUCAUGCCAAUGGCACUGCCCGGUAGCUAAAUGCGGAAGAGAUAAGUGCUGAAAGCAUCUAAGCACGAAACUUGCCCCGA